AGUCACUUCUGCUUCCUAUUUAACACAGAAAAGUUUAUUGGUAAAAAUAUGGAUGUUGCUACUUCCUGUUAGUGGCAUGAGGCGACUGAAGCACUGACCCCACCUUCCCCUGAGAAUCCAGGCAGUUCCUACAGCAUCAGCAUGAGCUCCCUUCAUGUUAUCAUCCACCACACUCCAGGGAGCUGAAUCCACAUGAAGGAGGAGCAGAUGUCCCUCAGCAUGGAAUGGAAGAACAGAGCAUGCAAUGACCAGGUUAUCUGUUUUCUCAACAAAUACACACUACACAGAGGAUUUCUUGAGCUUCCCCAGAGCAUUACUGACCAGUGGUCAACCUUGAAUUCCUACCAGGUAGCAAAGUCAGGAUGCUUUCACAGCAACUAAAGCAGUCGCGCAAGCACAGCUACUGAGUUUGUGUGGUCGCAGCAUCUCCCCAAAACUCAGGUAUUUAUGGUCUGAUCCCUCAGUCCAUCAGAAAACACACUUAUUUUACACCUGGAGAGCUCUUUCAUCCUCGGAUGGCACUACAGGAAGCAGUGGGAGGAAUGAGGCAGAGAUGUUUGUGGAGCAGGGACUCACUGCCCAGAUGAGCUGCGAGUUACCAGGACAGGCUCACUUUCCCUCACUGCUGAUACAAACAUGUUCUGGACCCUGAUCCAACACAGAAGAGAAUUAUAACACUUCAGGUUGCAUUGGUCACUGCACAUGUCAAAAUAUCCAUGUCUCAAAAGAACAACAUUAACUGCCCUCAAUCCAAGAACAAAUGUCUACCUGUGGAUUGGGAGAUGAAUUGUCUGUUGUACAGAGCAUCCAUUAAUGCUAUAAUUAGACUCUGUGUCCAGAAACAUGAUUUUCCAUCAGGCAGCUCCACAAAGAACAGCUUUGCUGAAAGCCUCUUCACACAUCCCAUCACAGCAUGGGGCCGAGGUGCAGAAGCAAGGCGAGGGGGAGGCCUCCUUCAGCAGCUCCAACAGCACAGCACACACCACACACUGCUCCACAGACAACACCCACAGCCUCCGGGGCAGUCACUGCUUUCCUUACCCACAGCCACAUUCCUCACCAAGGACUCUGGGCCUCUUGCUCUUCCUCAGCAAUGCACACUAGCAACGCUUCUUCUACCCAAAAGCCCAGGCUGGCUCUAGUCCUCCUGACAAUUCACUCCUCAGGCAGCAGACCCUGAGAUCACAAAGGCUCAGCUGAAACUUCAGCCUUCCAAGUUUUAACUUCCCAUGUUCCAACAACCCUUCUAGAAAGCAUCUCACCUGGCUGUUGCAGUUGCUCCCUCCCCUCCCCAUGUCCAAUAAUUCAUUUUUACCUCAACAGCAGAUGCAGCUGCUUUCUUGUAAAAACCCAGAGUUUAAAGAUGACUUCUUCCACUUGCCAUAAUCCAUUGUGUGGGAGAAACAGACAAUAUUAUAUUGUUCCCUGUAUGACACUUCGAGCUGUACUUUCUGCUCUGAACACACUGAAACUCCACUUGAGGCUACAGCAAUUUCCAUGCGGGAGGCAAAGGAGGAUCUUGCAUCUGAUCUAAUACAGGCUAAAUCAAUGUGCACUCAUUUAUUGCUUCUAGUUGCCAUCAGCUCAAGGAGAGAAACUGCCCUAGAGUUUCAAGGCUAUCCAUGCCGCCUUUGUCUAGGGAAAACAUUGGAGAUCUGUUGAGAACCCCAUCUGAAUGCUUCCCAGGAGUGUGGGUGAGGGAUGGGAGUCACUAAACCCUGGCUGCUUCUCACUGGUUUCAGCACAUCAUUUUGGGAGAAGUCGCGUAAGGAUUGCAUCCCUUGGGUCUGCCUUCUACAGAAAUGCAGUUCCUGGUAGUCAUUCACUCAGAGAGGUGCUGGAAAGCUUCAUUAGAGCGUGUGCAGCACUUGGAGAUUUUCAGGUAAAAUGGAUUAGGGAAGGGCAGCAUCAUUAGCAUGGAUUCAAGUGAUGAAAGCACUUCCCUCUGUCUCCUUCAGCUGCUGGAGCUUGAAAGGAAAACUACCCAGCACCACAGUCCUAUGUGUUGUAGUCAGAAAACCAUCAGCACCACAAGGACCACGGUUUUCUGGAUGUGGUCUGAAUUCCCAUCACCUUUACAGGAUUCUGACCUUCUGCUGUGGCUGUAAACAGGAGCCCCCUGGAAGAGGUGUCUCCAGCAUAAACCAAGGCAGAGCUUUACUAUUCCUCUCCAUGCAAGGAUUUUCUGCUGCUAAGUGUGAUUAGGGAGAUUAAUUUUUGCAGCUGGACAUUUUAUUUAAGAAUAUCAUUUUCCACCCAGUUUUCUCCUUUAGCUUUCAUUUAUUCUAACCCAAGACACCCACUUACCCAGAAGAGGACUCUUCUGCAAGGUUCACUCUUGCACUUCAGUCCUUUCUUUGGCAUCAACAACAGACUUGUUUUCAAAAAGCCCUGUUAUUACUUAUUGCAGCUUGUCUGCAUUGACAAACAACAUCAAGAGUCCAAAACUAUGAAUUCAUUUAUCCAAGGACCCGAUUGUAACAAAGCCACAUUAUGGCUCAAGUUGUUUGUUUGACUUCUAAAGCAAAAGAAGUUCCUUAAAAGCCACGAGAGCUGAGACAUUGAAAUCACACAGAUACACAGUGCUCAGGAUGGAAUAUGGAUCAAUAUUUAGAGAGGUUCAUUGAAACAGCAACACAAAACAGCUUGGUUCUUAUCAGCUCUGGGUGUAUGAUUCAAUACAACUUCACACCUUUACACCCACUUCACUUUGUCUUUCCCUCCAUGUCACCUGGGAAGAGGCUGGUGGGUCCUUCACUGCAAACAGUCCCAGCUAGUAUCUGGGAAGAGACUUCAAUAACAGCUUUGUGUUUCACCUGCCACCACAUCUCCAAGAGCUGAUGGCUGGGCACAGUAACAAGUGAGCUAUUCCUCCAAAUGCUGGCUGAACCAUGAGAGUUUAGGCAUAAGGAACACAGAACCAGAAGGAAACUGCCUUCUGAGCUGCCCUGUCCCAUGCCUUCAUCAUCACCCUGCCAGCACUCCCCCUCCUGAAAAGGGCUUCUCACAUCCCUGAAAAAGACAAGCUGAACAAAAACGUGAAAUCACACAGCUCUGUUAAUGCCAUUUCAGUCCUCAGCAGAGGAGUGGAGGCAGAACAGAAGGGAAACAUUUGAAUUGCUCCCAGCCUCCAUGGGACAUUGUGCAUUUCACAGUGGAUUUCCUUUGCAGGCAAAGAGGAAAGCUGGACCACACAUUCUGCUUCCUAAACAAGCUUACUUUGCUAGCAAUGGCAUCAGCCUGUUCACUCACUAAUUCAAGCUUCCCGCUUCUCAGAGAUAAAUAAUUGUGCCUUUCAUGUUGUUUCUCCAGCUUUCUCCUUCUAAUCUUUCAUUCCCUUCUCCCAGUACUCCCUGGCUUCACAGGGCUCUGUAUCACCCAGUAUCCCUUGCAUAGAAUAAGCUUUGUAAUUUCUCAGCAAUUUCAACUCGAACAGUGAUUAAAACAGCAAAACUUCUUCAAUGCCAAAAGACCCUUUAUGCAAAGAAUCCCAGGAAAUGAGUUCUCAAAAACCACACAGCAAUCUUUCAAGCAGCACAAAAUUGGUCCCUAAACAGUUUCCCUGUAUUUCAAGUGAAGCAGACUGGAACAGUUUUAUUUAUUAAUAUGCUCAUCCUCACACUUGUGCUUUAACAUGGUGGCUUUAAAGAA